UAAUCUGCGAUAAGCGCCGGUAAGGUGAUAUGAACCGUUAUAACCGGCGAUACCCGAAUGGGGAAACCCAGUGUGACUCGUCACACUAUCAUUAACUGAAUCCAUAGGUUAAUGAGGCGAACCGGGGGAACUGAAACAUCUAAGUACCCCGAGGAAAAGAAAUCAACCGAGAUUCCCCCAGUAGCGGCGAGCGAACGGGGAGGAGCCCAGAGCCUGAAUCAGCAUGUGUGUUAGUGGAAGCGUCUGGAAAGGCGCGCGAUACAGGGUGACAGCCCCGUACACAAAAGCGCAUGUGCUGUGAGCUCGAUGAGUAGGGCGGGACACGUGGUAUCCUGUCUGAAUAUGGGGGGACCAUCCUCCAAGGCUAAAUACUCCUGACUGACCGAUAGUGAACCAGUACCGUGAGGGAAAGGCGAAAAGAACCCCGGCGAGGGGAGUGAAAAAGAACCUGAAACCGUGUACGUACAAGCAGUGGGAGCACCCUUUGGGUGUGACUGCGUACCUUUUGUAUAAUGGGUCAGCGACUUAUAUUCUGUAGCAAGGUUAACCGAAUAGGGGAGCCGGAGGGAAACCGAGUCUUAACCGGGCGUUAAGUUGCAGGGUAUAGACCCGAAACCCGGUGAUCUAGCCAUGGGCAGGUUGAAGGUUGGGUAACACUAACUGGAGGACCGAACCGACUAAUGUUGAAAAAUUAGCGGAUGACCUGUGGCUGGGGGUGAAAGGCCAAUCAAACCGGGAGAUAGCUGGUUCUCCCCGAAAGCUAUUUAGGUAGCGCCUCGUGAAUUCAUCUCCGGGGGUAGAGCACUGUUUCGGCUAGGGGGCCAUCCCGGCUUACCAACCCGAUGCAAACUGCGAAUACCGGAGAAUGUUAUCACGGGAGACACACGGCGGGUGCUAACGUCCGUCGUGAAGAGGGAAACAACCCAGACCGCCAGCUAAGGUCCCAAAGUCAUGGUUAAGUGGGAAACGAUGUGGGAAGGCCCAGACAGCCAGGAUGUUGGCUUAGAAGCAGCCAUCAUUUAAAGAAAGCGUAAUAGCUCACUGGUCGAGUCGGCCUGCGCGGAAGAUGUAACGGGGCUAAACCAUGCACCGAAGCUGCGGC
rnacentral:rRNA from 1 species